GCUGAAAUAAUCAACCUCUUCUUCUUUGUUGUUAUCGUCCUUUUUUCUUUCUCUCUCUAGGGUUUUGCGUAUUGCUGAAACCAAUUCAAAUAUCAAAUCCGAAAAAUCCCCAAAUUUUCACUGAAACCAGUUGUUGUUCUUCUUUCAUGUCAAUUUAAGCUAAUCCAAACCCAUAAUAUGACACUACGAAAGGGUUCUAAUGUAUGGGUCGAAGACAAAAGUUCCGCUUGGGUUGCUGCUCAAGUGACUGAUUUUAUUGGUAAACAAGUCCA
rnacentral:misc_RNA from 1 species